rnacentral:rRNA from 1 species
UACGGAGGAGGCAAGCGUUAUCCGGAAUUAUUGGGCGUAAAGCGUCCGCAGGUGGCACUUCAAGUCUGCCGUCAAAGACUGGGGCUUAACCCUGGAAAGGCGGUGGAAACUGAAGCGCUAGAGUGCGGUAGGGGUAGAGGGAAUUCCCGGUGUAGCGGUGAAAUGCGUAGAGAUCGGGAAGAACAUCGGUGGCGAAAGCGCUCUACUGGACCGCAACUGACACUGAGGGACGAAAGCUAGGGGAGCGAAUGGG